CAGCAGCCACGGUAAUACGAAGGGGGCUAGCGUUGCUCGGAAUCACUGGGCGUAAAGGGUGCGUAGGCGGGUUUUUAAGUCAGAGGUGAAAUCCUGGAGCUCAACUCCAGAACUGCCUUUGAUACUGAAAGUCUUGAGUAUGGGAGAGGUGAGUGGAACUGCGAGUGUAGAGGUGAAAUUCGUAGAUAUUCGGAAGAACACCAGUGGCGAAGGCGACUACCUGGUCUGGCAUUGACGCUCAUGUGCGAAAGCGUGGGGAGCAAACAGGAUUAGAUACCCCGGUAGUCCCUGUCUCUUAUAC
rnacentral:rRNA from 1 species